rnacentral:rRNA from 1 species
GACGAGCUACACAAACGUUAUUCGGAAUUACUGGGCUUAAAGGGUGCGUAGGCUGCGCGGAAAGUUGGGUGUGAAAUCCCUCGGCUCAACCGAGGAACUGCGCCCAAAACUACCGUGCUCGAGGAAGAUAGAGGUGGGCGGAACUUACGGUGGAGCGGUGAAAUGCGUUGAUAUCGUAAGGAACACCCGUGGCGAAAGCGGCUCACUGGGUCUUUUCUGACGCUGAUGCACGAAAGCUAGGGGAGCAAACGGG